CGCAAGGUGGCGAAAUGGGCGUCCACCUUCUCGCGGAAGGCGUCGAUGCCCAGCGAGGCGACCAGGAUCUUGAUCCGCGCCUUGUGG
rnacentral:tRNA from 1 species